CUUGUUUAUUUUGCUGUUCCAGCUGCCACUGUUGCAGGUUUUCUUGCAACUGCUGCUGUCUCUGUUCUUCUUUCGAUACUAGUACUAUACUAGGCCUUAAAGGCUUAAUUUGGUAAUCUGCCAGUGUCAUCGUUACUUCACGUGUUAAUAUAACUUGGGCUGUUAAGAAAUCUACUCUGAAGUUUGACAAGACUGAGGCUGAAAUCUGCCAGUACUGUCUGAAUUCGGAUGUCUCAAAUUCUUUAUCUUCUGACCAUUAGAGUAGAAUCAUAAGUCAUGUUGAUUUGUUAAGAGACAACAGAUGUGAUGAUGUAAACAGUUCAAAUGUUUGAAAAAGAUAGGAAUGCACAUGCCUUGAGUGCUUGUCAGGUCACUGUGUUAUGCAUGCAUAGCAAAUAAAAUAUCCAGUUUUAACUGUUGUAAGGUUAUUCUGAACUUACCAGUUCUGUCAGGGAUAAAAGAAUUUGGGCAAAACCAGGCGAUUCAAAAUCGUCCAAUAGCAAACAAGAGUUUAUAUUAUAUCAUAAUCAGACUGAUAAUCCUUUUUUGAAGAAACGUCUGUGGACAGAAGUGAAUAUGCAGAAGGCAAUGAAGGCUGUUAUUUCAAAACAGAUGUCAUUAUCAAAAGCUGCUUCCUUUUUUAGGGUACCAGUAUCUACACUAUGGUAUAGGGUGCAUCCCAAAGAAAAAAAAUUAUAAGAAAUUUCUCUGUUUGGUUUAAGAGGUUAAGUGUGUUGCAUGAAUUUGUAUAGUUAACAUCUUAUGAACAAAUAAAUUUAUAGUGUGCUAGUUCUAAAAACAUCUAUCAGUUACUGUUGUGAAGAAAGUGAUACUAUUGGUCAAAUAAUGAGGGUGGAACUGUGCAGGUGUGAUGAUUGGUAUUUACAGUAGUUGAGCCAGUGAAGUUUGAAUGUAAUUUAUUAUAUAUUAGUUUUAAUGAUAUUUAGGCUUAUUCAUAAUCAUGUUUUAUUAGCAUUUUGUGAAAUUUCAUAAAUUGUGGAUAUUUUUAUUUGAAUAAAAGGAUUUAAAAAACCUAA